CCUACGGGAGGCAGCAGUGGGGAAUCUUGCGCAAUGCGCGAAAGCGUGACGCAACAACGCCGCGUGAGGGAAGACGGCCUUCGGGUUGUAAACCUCUUUCAGUUGGGACGAAGCCACGGCGGUUAAUACCCGUCUGUGGUGACGGUACCUUCAGAAGAAGCCCCCGGCUAACUACGUGCCAGCAGCCGCGGUAAUACGUAGGGGGCAAGCGUUGUCCGGAAUCAUUGGGCGUAAAGCGCGUGUAGGCGGCUUAGGUAAGUCCGCUCUGAAAGCCCGGGGCUCAACCCCGGGAGGCGGGUGGAUACUGUCAAGCUCGAGUCCGGAAGAGGCGAGUGGAAUUCCUGGUGUAGCGGUGAAAUGCGCAGAUAUCAGGAGGAACACCAAUGGCGAAGGCAGCUCGCUGGGACGUGACUGACGCUGAGACGCGAAAGCGUGGGGAGCAAACAGGAUUAGAUACCCUGGUAGUCCACGCCGUAAACGAGUAGGCGACUAGUAGGUGGGAGGUGGUCGACGUCCUCCGUCGCCGACGACGUACGACAUAAGUAGCCCGCCGUCGGGAGGUACGGCCGGCCGACGGACGUAAACGUAACGAAAGUUAAAGUUAGUAGGCGUUGAGAGNGCCGACGGACGACGACGAGGGAGGAGG
rnacentral:rRNA from 1 species